UUGAACAAUGGUAAAGCAAACAGUAACUUCCAAAGCAAUAACUAUAAGAAAUUAAAAAAUUGACACAAAUAUAUAUAAAAACGUAAUGUAAAAAGGGUUACCGGAGUGAUGAUUUUCCCAGCAGAUCUGGAGUGAGACGAAGGAUUAUUUUGUCCAUAAUGGACUUCGGAGCUCGCUGACUCUUUGCUUGAGCUGGUUUGGUUCGUUGUGCCGCCGGAGCUUGCAACUUCGUGGUGGUCGGAGCUCAUACACCUGCAAAACAAAUAAAAAAAAUUGAAAAGGGGGAGGGGGAUGGGUCUGAUUUGCUGGUUGUUUCUAAGAUGGUUAUAUGUGGUUUGGGGUCGGGGUUUUGAGGUUGUUUGUGUGUUGUUGUUCUGGUUGUUUAAUGGUGAUUUGGUGGUUGGUCUGGCAGUGAGGUUGAAGCUCGCCAACAAUGUCAAUUUGAGGAGGAAAACGGGGAAGGGGGCUGGUGGUUUCAGGUGGUAUUUUGGGUCGGAUUUGGUCGGGGUUUUCGUGUUGAUUUUCGCUGAUUUGGUUUGGGGUUUUGAUUUCACUGUUGUUUGCAGGUUUAAAUUGGCCGGAAAUGGAGUCUGGUUCGUGUGAGCUGCUGACCAGCUGGGUUUCGCGGGAGAUUUAGGGGUGACCGGUUGGUUUUCGCCGGAGAAGGAGAAAAUGAAUGGGGGUUUUGGGUUGCCGGAGCUUGGCCGGAAUCUGGGGUGGUGGCCGCCGGAGAAUGAAUAGUGAAAUCUAUCUAAAUAUUUACAACCCUACUCUAAAAAAUAAAUUCAC
rnacentral:lncRNA from 1 species